GUUUUACUUUAAAAAUAAAUUAAUUAUUCUAUAGUUUAGUUGGGGUGACUCGAGGAAUAUUAAACACCUCAUUAAAAUUAAAAUUUAUAAAUUUAUUAAGACCCUUUUUAUAGAUCAACAAUAAAAAU
rnacentral:rRNA from 1 species